rnacentral:rRNA from 1 species
UAACCUGCCCAAGAGAUCGGGAUAACACCUGGAAACAGAUGCUAAUACCGGAUAACAACAGAUGAUGCCUAUCAACUGUUUAAAAGAUGGUUCUGCUAUCACUCUUGGAUGGACCUGCGGUGCAUUAGCUAGUUGGUAGGGUAACGGCCUACCAAGGCGAUGAUGCAUAGCCGAGUUGAGAGACUGAUCGGUCACAUUGGGACUGAGACACGGCCCAAACUCCUACGGGAGGCAGCAGCG